rnacentral:rRNA from 1 species
UACGUAGGGUGCAAGCGUUUGUCCGGAAUUAUUGGGCGUAAAGAGCUCGUAGGCGGUUUGUCGCGUCUGCUGUGAAAACGCGAGGCUCAACCUCGCGCCUGCAGUGGGUACGGGCAGACUAGAGUGCGGUAGGGGAGAUUGGAAUUCCUGGUGUAGCGGUGGAAUGCGCAGAUAUCAGGAGGAACACCGAUGGCGAAGGCAGAUCUCUGGGCCGUAACUGACGCUGAGGAGCGAAAGCGUGGGGAGCGAACAGG